UUGGGUAUUUUUCUGUGUUAUGUUUUGGGUAUUGUGGAGAAGAAGGGUAACCUGUGUACGAGCUUAAUAAUUUUGGGCAGAGAGUGUGGGGUGGGCUGUGGAGAGAAGAAUAUGCGUAAUCAAAUAUAAGAGUUCGACUAGGUAUACGGCUAUGGUCAUAUGUAAGAGAAGAAGCCUCUCAUGGAAGGAAAGCUCCAAUUAAUCCUUUCACUCAUGAAAUUUUCAAGCCAUCUGCAUCUCAAGGUGUUCCACUUGGAGGCAUGGGAAGUGGCAGCAUAUAGAAUGGUCAAUAUUGAAGUGAGCUAUCCCAUUUGAUGUUUCCAGG